rnacentral:rRNA from 1 species
CAGUCGCCGCGGUAAUACGUAGGUGGCAAGCGUUGUCCGGAAUUAUUGGGCGUAAAGGGCUCGCAGGCGGUUUCUUAAGUCUGAUGUGAAAGCCCCCGGCUCAACCGGGGAGGGUCGUUGGAAACUGGGAAACUUGAGUGCAGAAGAGGAGAGUGGAAUUCCACGUGUAGCGGUGAAAUGCGUAGAGAUGUGGAGGAACACCAGUGGCGAAGGCGACUCUCUGGUCUGUAACUGGCGCUGAGGAGCGAAAGCGUGGGGAGCGAACAGGAUUAGAUACCCCCGUAGUCCCUGUCUCUUAUAC